AUUGAACGCUGGCGGCAGGCCUAACACAUGCAAGUCGAGCGGAUGAAGGGAGCUUGCUCCUGGAUUCAGCGGCGGACGGGUGAGUAAUGCCUAGGAAUCUGCCUGGUAGUGGGGGAUAACGUCCGGAAACGGGCGCUAAUACCGCAUACGUCCUGAGUGAGAAAGUGGGGGAUCUUCGGACCUCACGCUAUCAGAUGAGCCUAGGUCGGAUUAGCUAGUUGGUGGGGUAAAGGCCUACCAAGGCGACGAUCCGUAACUGGUCUGAGAGGAUGAUCAGUCACACUGGAACUGAGACACGGUCCAGACUCCUACGGGAGGCAGCAGUGGGGAAUAUUGGACACUGGGCGAAAGCCUGAUCCAGCCAUGCCGCGUGUGUGAAGAAGGUCUUCGGAUUGUAAAGCACUUUAAGUUGGGAGGAAGGGCAGUAAGUUAAUACCUUGCUGUUUUGACGUUACCAACAGAAUAAGCACCGGCUAACUUCGUG
rnacentral:rRNA from 1 species